AUACGGAGGAUGCGAGCGUUAUCCGGAUUUAUUGGGUUUAAAGGGAGCGUAGGCGGGAGCUUAAGUCAGCGGUUAAAUGGUGCGGCUCAACCGUGCCCUGCCGUUGAAACUGGGUUUCUUGAGAGUGCAAGAGGCGGAUGGAAUUCAUGGUGUAGCGGUGAAAUGCUUAGAUAUCAUGAAGAACUCCGAUUGCGAAGGCUGUCCGCUGGGGCACGUCAGACGCUGAUGCUCGAAGGUGCGGGAAUCAAACAGGAUUAGAUACCCUGGUAGUCCGCACGGUAAACGAUGAUUACCCGCUGUCGGCGGUAGACAGUCGGCGGCCAAGCGAAAGCGAUAAGUAAUCCACCUGGGGAGUUCGCCGGCAACGGUGAAACUCAAAGGAAUUGGCGGGG
rnacentral:rRNA from 1 species